GAAGUAGCUCAGUGGUAGAGCUCCCGCUUUGCACGUGGGGAGAGCUGGGUUCGAUUCCCGGAUGCUUCC
rnacentral:tRNA from 1 species